rnacentral:misc_RNA from 1 species
AAAACUGCAUUAAGGAUCAAAGGUAACACUCAAAGAGAUCAAAGAUUGUUAAUAUUGGAUCAUGGAAUAUUUAUAGACAAGAAUUUGUCAACAUGAUAAAAUAUGUAUCACAAGCCCUAAAAGCUAUAGCUCAAUGAGUGAGCUUCCUUCCUUAUGCUUUUGCCUGACUUCCUUCAAGUAACUUUCUGAUUACAGAAGUAACUUUCUGAUUACAGAUAUUCAAUAUCUGUCUUUGUAACUUGUUCCAUAGACGAUCAGGUAUGGUAUGGUCCGUACAACCGUGUCAAUUGGUAUGGCAAAGUUAACCCCGGAAGACAUACCCGAGCCUCUGCGGGUGAAUGUUGCUGUAUUUAGACCAAUGACAUGGCCAGAUGAGUCAAUCAACGGACCACCUGAAUUCCCUGCAUUAAUAGCAGCAUCUGUUUGAAUAGCGCCUUUAAUGGCAGCUCCAUUUGGUGCAGGUAUUUCCCUGCCUAAUCCACUAACUACCCCAGUUGUGAGAGUGUUUUCAAAUCCAUAGGGAUUUCCAAUGGCAAAACAACUUUGACCUACACGUAGGCCGCGAGAGGUACCAACAGAGACUGGUUUAACUUCAACACCUUCAACAUCAACCUGCAGUGAGAUAUCAAAUGUUAGACAACUUUAUUUUGAACAAA